UUGGGUCAGAAUUCCUUCAUAGUCCAUGCUUGAUUCGAUGUAAGAGGGGAUGAUUGAUAGAAGGAUCACAAUUUUCUAAAUCAUUUUUUCUCUUUCCAUGUGAAAACCUUGAUGGAUUAUAGUUGGGUCAGAAUCUCUUCAUAGCCUAUACUUGGAUAACACAAGAGAAGUGAAGAAAGGAAGGGUCUCUUAAUUAGGGUGAGAACAAAAU
rnacentral:lncRNA from 1 species